GACAGAGGUGCCGAGCGUUAGGCGGAAUCACUGGGCUUAAAGCGUGUGUAGGCGGGGCGUUAAGUACCUUGUGAAAUCCCCCGGCUCAACCGGGGAACGGCUGGGUAUACUGGCGAUCUUGAGCCACCUAGGGGCAGUCGGAACAAGUGGUGGAGCGGUGAAAUGCGUAGAUAUCACUUGGAACGCCAAUGGUGAAAACAGACUGCUGGGGGUGUGCUGACGCUGAGACACGAAAGCCAGGGGAGCAAACGGG
rnacentral:rRNA from 1 species